CUUGCUCCCUUAGGUCAGCGGCGGACGGGUGAGUAACACGUGGGUAACCUGCCUGUAAGACUGGGAUAACUCCGGGAAACCGGGGCUAAUACCGGAUGCUUGAUUGAACCGCAUGGUUCAAUCAUAAAAGGUGGCUUUUAGCUACCACUUACAGAUGGACCCGCGGCGCAUUAGCUAGUUGGUGAGGUAACGGCUCACCAAGGCGACGAUGCGUAGCCGACCUGAGAGGGUGAUCGGCCACACUGGGACUGAGACACGGCCCAGACUCCUACGGGAGGCAGCAGUAGGGAAUCUUCCGCAAUGGACGAAAGUCUGACGGAGCAACGCCGCGUGAGUGAUGAAGGUUUUCGGAUCGUAAAACUCUGUUGUUAGGGAAGAACAAGUACCGUUCGAAUAGGGCGGUACCUUGACGGUACCUAACCAGAAAGCCACGGCUAACUACGUGCCAGCAGCCGCGGUAAUACGUAGGUGGCAAGCGUUGUCCGGAAUUAUUGGGCGUAAAGCGCGCGCAGGCGGUUUCUUAAGUCUGAUGUGAAAGCCCCCGGCUCAACCGGGGAGGGUCAUUGGAAACUGGGGAACUUGAGUGCAGAAGAGGAGAGUGGAAUUCCACGUGUAGCGGU
rnacentral:rRNA from 2 species